AAUUUUGGGAGGUUCUUUGUCUCAUAAUGUUUUAUAUUUUAUUUUUAGCUGUACAGAUCCUUUGCCCUCCUUGAGACACCAAUGCCCUAAGCUGUUUGAAAUAGAGAGUUAAGCAGUACCUUGGAGUUUCAGAGGUUAUCAGCAGUAGCCCCAGAUGAUGAAUGGAAACAUUUCCCCUGAAUCCCAAGACCUUCUUCCUGUAUGUGAAAGCAAGCUCCUCUGUGCUAGAAGGUGAUAUUCCCCGUGAGAAAAUCGUGGGGACUUCAGGAAACAGGUGAGACCAUAAAACAGGAUUGUGGAUGAAGUCACCUGCUGGCGAUUGUGGAGCGGGAGAUAUUCCGAACAUCUUCAAAUUCCUUCUCGAGUAUUCAGGGCGGGAUGAUUUGAGGUCAAGUCAGUUCUUGCUGGAAGGUCUUUUCUGCUUGCUUCCUUGGGGCAUCACUGGAAUCCCCACGGGGGAAAGGAGUUUGUGAGUGCUUGUUGAGUCAGAAUGCCCGUGGAUAGUGCACCGGAAAUACGAUCAGUUAAAGCUGUACUGGUUUAAUGCGGUGAUCUUGUCGCCCUAUGGGCUGAAGUUCUCACCCAUUGUCGUCUGUGUCCGGGCUAAGUCAGUAUCUGAAAUCAAGGAGAAUCAUUCUAGUGUUUAUCCUGUGGCAUGAUAGUGCUAAUCUCAAAGGUACAAAAAAAG